GUGUCCUCAGCUUCAAAUCCAUGGCGCCAUGACGAUCUUAUCUCCAUACUGCGAAAAAGUUAAGUGAGUUCAUUAUUGAUGGGGCCUUUACUUUGGUGAAGCCUGAGCAGGAAAGCGAGAUGAGAGAGAAGAAGUGGUAGAAUUGGAUUCUCUCUCUUUCUCAGCCAGCGUGUUCCCACGCCAAUGAUCUCAGACUCCCAGCUGUCGGUUCGAGACCGUGGAGCCGCCUCCCUAUCCAUUAAAAAGCCCUCCCCUCUCCCCUUCUCCUUCCCACUUUCCACAGUCACUCCCUCUCUCUCUCUUCCUCUGCUUCGUCUCUUCGUUCUAUCCAUCCGGUGAUCCAGACAGAGGACAAGGAUGUAUCCACCAGGGAACCAGGACAUGUCUUACUACGAUCAUGUCCAGCGCCGCCGUGAAGAGAAGGGCUGCCUUUAUGCCUGCUUGUUCGCCGCCUGCUGCUGCUUCUGCUGCGCUGAGACGUGCGAGUGUUGCUUAGACGUCCUCUGUUGCUGCUGCUAGCCGAUUCUGUUCGUAGGCCACCAUCGUGGCCUUCUUCCUUCCGCCAUGAUCUUGCUCCCUUGUCGUUCUUCCUGUAGUGGAUCGUCUUCUUGUUGUUGUUUGCCUGUGGGUGUGAUGGGUGCAUUCUGUGUAAGGCAAGUCGUGUGAUUUGAUGUGAAGCGUUGACCUUGUUCUUGAAUAAACACCAGCGUCUUUCUUGAAAA